rnacentral:misc_RNA from 1 species
GCAAAUUAUCGUAGACCUCAGAGAAGAGCACCAGCUUGCAGAGGAAAACAAAGAAGCACAGACUAAUGGGAGCUCAACCACAACAAAAGGGCAUGCCGCAGGUCAAUGUGAUGAACAAAGUCCCCAAAACAAAGAGCCCAUAAGCAGAGUAUCUACGCAAGGAUUAGCUUUGGUUAAGGAAGCAACAAACCAAAGAGAUGCCGAACGAACUGGCAACGUUUCUGACGUCUCAAUUUUAUAUAGCCAGGACGGUCACACGUCCUUUGAGAGUACUGGUCAACAGGCCAAGCAAAGGAGAGUACGACUGUAGCAUUCAACCAUCUUAGAUUCAACCUUUCCACUCUUUUUUCCCUCACACUCCUCCUUACCUCUACUCUAAUGCGUUGUUU